rnacentral:rRNA from 1 species
GAAGUAUGGAGGGUGAGGCCUGCCCAAUGGUUGUAUCUAAAAGCGGUUGAUAAAAGUCGACCGUGUAAGGACAAUUGAAUGGCCGCGGUAACACUGACCGUGAUAAUGUAGCGUAAUCAAUAGCCAAUUAAUUGUUGGCCAGUAUGAAUGGCGCCACGAAGGCCCCACUGUCUUAAGGAAAUUCCCAGUGAAAUUGAAUUCGUAGUGAAGAUGCUACGUCCAAUUUGUUAGACGAAAAGACCCCGUUGAGCUUUACUGGGGCACUUACACGGCCCCGGCCUUCAAAACUGGGUUGAUAAGCCAAGGCUUACCAUACCUAGGGACCGGCCGAAUUUAAAUGGGCGGCUUAGACUAUGUGGCAGCCCCCCCCGUCGGGGCAGAUGAAACCCCACUCCCCCAUGUCAAAGGGGCUAACCCCCCCCCUUGGGGGGGACAGUGUAAGUAGGACAGUUUGGUUGGGGCGACCGCCUUUUAGAGAGUAACGAAGGUGCGCUUAAGGUGCGUAAUUAAUGACUGAAGCCUGACUGCGAGGGGGACACCCCGAGCAGACACCCCCAAGCCCGCCCUCGCCUUCGUACCAACGGAGGGAGGGCGGCGGUGGGGUGGGCCAUAGUGACCCGUUAAUUUAGAGUGGAAUAGUUAACGAUCAACGAAUAAAAGUUACCACGGGGAUAACAGCGUAAUAUCGUUAGAGAGUUC